rnacentral:tRNA from 1 species
GGACGGUUGGCGCAAUGGUAGCGCGCAGCUCUCCUACUUCUCCCUGUGCUUAAGGCUAUUUACUGGUCCCAAGCAAACCCAUUGGUGUUUUAGGAUGCUAAGCUGAGGCUGUGGGUUCGAGUCCCACAUCGUUCG